rnacentral:rRNA from 1 species
UACAGAGGGUGCGAGCGUUAAUCGGAAUUACUGGGCGUAAAGCGUGCGCAGGCGGUUCGCCAAGUCAGGUGGGAAAUCCCCGGGCUUAACCUGGGAACUGCAUUUGUGACUGCAUGGCUAGAGUGCGGCAGAGGGGGAUGGAAUUCCGCGUGUAGCAGUGAAAUGCGUAGAUAUGCGGAGGAACACCGCUGGCGAAGGCAAUCCCCUGGGCCUGCACUGACGCUCAUGCACGAAAGCGUGGGGAGCAAACAGG